AUUGAACGCUGGCGGCAUGCCUUACACAUGCAAGUCGAACGGCAGCGGGGGAGAAGCUUGCUUUUCCUGCCGGCGAGUGGCGAACGGGUGAGUAAUACAUCGGAACGUGCCCAGUCGUGGGGGAUAACGUAGCGAAAGCUACGCUAAUACCGCAUACGGUCUACGGAUGAAAGCGGGGGAUCGCAAGACCUCGCGCGAUUUGAGCGGCCGAUAUCAGAUUAGGUUGUUGGUGAGGUAAAAGCUCACCAAGCCUGCGAUCUGUAGCUGGUCUGAGAGGACGACCAGCCACACUGGAACUGAGACACGGUCCAGACUCCUACGGGAGGCAGCAGUGGGGAAUUUUGGACAAUGGACGCAAGUCUGAUCCAGCAAUGCCGCGUGCAGGACGAAGGCCUUCGGGUUGUAAACUGCUUUUGUACGGAACGAAACGGUGAGCUCUAAUACAGUUUGCUAAUGACGGUACCGUAAGAAUAAGCACCGGCUAACUACGUGCCAGCCGCCGCCGUAA
rnacentral:rRNA from 1 species